AACAAAGGAUGCAAGCGUUGUUCGGAUUCAUUGGGCGUAAAGGGUGCGUAGGUGGCGCCGUAAGUCAGGUGUGAAAUCUCGGGGCUCAACCCCGAAACUGCACUUGAUACUGCGGUGCUCGAGUACUGGAGAGGAGAUUGGAAUUUACGGUGUAGCAGUGAAAUGCGUAGAUAUCGUAAGGAAGACCAGUGGCGAAGGCGAAUCUCUGGACAGUUACUGACACUGAGGCACGAAGGCCAGGGGAGCAAACGGG
rnacentral:rRNA from 1 species